rnacentral:rRNA from 1 species
ACUCCUACGGGAGGCAGCAGUGGGGAAUAUUGCACAAUGGGGGAAACCCUGAUGCAGCCAUGCCGCGUGUGUGAAGAAGGCCUUCGGGUUGUAAAGCACUUUCAGUAGGGAGGAAGGUAGUGUAGUUAACACCUGCACUAUUUGACGUUACCUACAGAAGAAGCACCGGCUAACUCCGUGCCAGCAGCCGCGGUAAUACGGAGGGUGCGAGCGUUAAUCGGAAUUACUGGGCGUAAAGCGCAUGCAGGCGGCCUGUUAAGUCAGAUGUGAAAGCCCGGGGCUUAACCUCGGAAUUGCAUUUGAAACUGGCAGGCUAGAGUCUUGUAGAGGGGGGUAGAAUUUCAGGUGUAGCGGUGAAAUGCGUAGAGAUCUGAAGGAAUACCAGUGGCGAAGGCGGCCCCCCUGGACAAAAGACUGACGCUCAGAUGCGAAAAGCGUGGGGGAGC